rnacentral:tRNA from 1 species
GCUGGAGUGGCGGAACUGGUAGACGCGCAUGGUUUAGGACCAUGUGGGGUAACCCUUGGAGGUUCGAUUCCUCUCUCCAGCA